GCCAUCGCCGGCCAUCCGCGGUUAUGGCGGCUCCGAGGGGCUUGGGGACAGCACGGGCAGAAGCGGGAGGCGCUUGCGCGCCGCCAUGGCUGCCCAUGGCCGUGCGGGGAGGCCUCCGCGUCUUGUGGGGGUCUCAGAUCGCGUGUGUCCCCCCCCCCCCCACGUUGGGUCCGGCUUGUUAUGGCGGCCGGCUGAAGGGGAGGUAGGGCCGGGCCCUGUCCGGCCUUGUGCCCCUCACGGGGACCUGGCCGGCCCCAAAGUGCCGGGCUUCACCGUGUCCGGCUGCCCUCCGGCCCUCCCCGAGCCGGGGCUGCUCCUCAGGAAUUUAAUACAGCAGCGGGCAUGGCUCAGCAUUGCUGUCAAUACAGGCUUCAAACAGCAAAGCUCGGCGGUCCGAGGCAGCGCUCCCCAUCGCCGAACCGCCCAGCAACGCGAAAUGGAGCGUGUUGUGCCCGCCAGGUGUCGUUGGCACCCGGGUGGCAGCAUGUUGUCGAGCAAGCAUAAAAAUGCACCUUGCACUCACCUUUCGGGGAAGCUGAUUCUUUCACUCAGUUGGCAGCAGACCUGCACCAUCAGCACAUCGGAGGAAAACAUCCUGUAGACUCCUGGGUUGUAUCUUCCCCCAAGGACAGCUUUGGCAAGAAGGCAGCUCUGAAGUCAGACGUCGAACUGAUCCAUAAUGUUCGGUGACGGGCUGAACCGGCAUACUUGACAACAGUGGACUGCCUUAGUCCUUAAGUAAAGGACCUGCUCUACCCCUGGCUGGAGGAAGGCGUGGUUCCCUGCAGUCUUCUGUUCCAGAAUAAAACAAAGUAUUGAAACUGUCUUGAGAGUUGAAGUGGUUUUUUGUUGUUUUUGUUUGUUUUGUAAUGGGUAUCUACUUAGACAGAAAUGAUUUUGAGCAGGUAGAAAGGAUUUCAGGGUGAAGUGCUUUCUGAAAUCGUAGAAACUGGGAGCUUACCCUUCAUAGCACUGCCUGCUUCUGCCCAAUACCUGACACAGUCUUCUGACUUGAAUGUCUUGUACAGGCAAAUGCUGAAAGUUGAAGAAAUUUGUGGUAACUGUGACAAAACUGUGGAUAAGCUAGGACUGGUGAAAGAUACGGUUCUUGUUGUCUGCUUAGAAGCUCAAAGAGAAGUGAGAGGCAGUAGUACAACAAUCAGGUUCCUCGAUAAGGUCAUAAAAUGGGGGAGGGAUGUUUAACUGCAGGGCUAGCUGUGGAUAGAGAAGCUUCCCUUUUUGGAAUAAGAAAGGUGUGCGAGUGCAGUAGGUCCUGGUCUGCACACACAGCUCUACCCCUGGAAGCUGGCUGGGAGCCCUGGCAGGAUGCUCGACUAUGACAGCAUUCAUCUUUUUUAAAACAUUCGUUUUUGCCACGUGCGUCAGUGCCACCCAUCGCUGUGUUUACAGCCACAUGGGUUGUGCUCGUGCUUGGCCAGAGCCAGUUUGAGGAGGUUUUGGUGGUACGUUAUUUAGGCAAUAUGAGAAUCAGGCUUGUUCUUGUCGUGGAAGGUGUUCUGCUGAGUGCUUGCAUUCAAGAACAGGCCUAACAGGCUGCCUGGGUACCAUUGUGAAGUGAUCGACGUGAACAAAGGUUAAUUUGAGACUCACAAGCUGGGCUCCACACUAGAGAUUAGCCUGUCAGCCCGUUUCAGAUGUAAUCUUUGUUAACGCAUGCGGCUUGCCAUCACAAAGGGAGAUGGAGCUUGAGGGGGUGCAGGGUUCCCUGGCUAACGGCCAGGCUAUCUCCUGCCAUCUCUGCAAGAAGUUGCUCCUUCAGCUGCUGUAAAGCAAAUAGCAUCAAAGGUGGGGAGGGGCUGCGCUCGGGAAGAGUGCCCAGCGAUCCGAUCCAACGCAGCCACCGCCCAGCUGGGGAAGUUGUGUCAGGGCCCUGCUCGGGCACCAGGAGUUUAACCCCGCUCAGCCUUUGGGCCGUUCCCAAGUUGAAGCCUCACUGUUUUACAGGCUACAGCCCCUCUGCUACAGGACAUAGGAUGUCUUAGCUGACCCACCCCGUUCACCACAUCAGGCACAGAAGAAAGUUACAAAAAUUUCCUGUAAUUACACAAAGUGGGAAAGUUUCAGGUCACACCGCUCUCUCCGCUGCGCAACAUCAACCCUCCAGCCACCCCUGUCCUCAGGAGCCUGCACGCCACAGCUUCCACAGCAGCAUUAGUUCACCCAGGAUGGCUGAAGGGCUCAAGACCCUUCACCCUGCUCUUAAGAUUUUUUUUUUUUUUUCCUUUUUAAAUAGCUUAGCCUUGUCCCAGGAGUGCCCUAACUCACCUGGCACAGCGCAGCCCUCUUCAAACACCUGGAGGACCACGCACCAGCCCCGUGCAAAACAACCAGCACCGCACACGUGGGCUGCAGGCCAGCUCCGGGCUGUUCAAAGGCCAGCUGCAUGUCUGAUGUCCCAGCUGAGCUGCAGUAACCCUGCUCUUAGCUGACGGAUUUUAAGACUCCGUUGUGUUGACCAACACCACAACUUAGUGAAGGGGAAAAAAAGAAAGCUGCUGACACCACACGUUAUACGUUUUGUCACAAGAGAGAGCAGCCAAGACUCAGCCCAGAGCUGUCUGAAGUUCAGGCGUUAAACAAUCCGGGAGAGGAGGUGUCCGAACACAGCACCAUUCUUUAAUUCAGGCCAUCUCGUCUCCAGGCCAAGGAUUCCUCCCACUUGUCCUGCCCCGGUGCCAAGCGUUUGGGCUGGGACGUGAUGGCAGCGUGAAGGGUGUUUUCCAGCUGCAAACUUUGAACACAGAAAAGUCUGUAAAUCUCCAGAAAACUCAAAAAAAGAGGAAAAAAAAAAAAAAAAAAAAAAGGUGGUCGGAUGUACACUUCAUCAGCAUCCUCUUCCAGCAUCCCCUUGCCCCAGCUGCAGACAAGCACCGUGUUUCCCGGGGUCUGCUGCUGCCCCAGGGACACCAUGGUGGCACGGGGAGGUGACAGCCACGCUCAGCAGAAUUUUUCGGUGCCCCAAAGUCCACUCUCGGUCUCACGGAGCCACGAACGAGUUGCUGGAGAUCCCUGAGGAAUCACGGGCUUUCCCGUCAGCACCACCACCACGGCUCUGCUGCCGGCGUGCCGUGCGGAGGGCCUGCACCUCGGGCUGGUCUGCUGAGUCGGGAGAGCCCUCCGGGGACAGAUGGGGCCCUCGGGAAGGAGGAGACCCCUUCCACGCUGCGCUGGGAGCCCUCGGGGUCACC